CGCUCUGGCAGUGGCGGUGGCAGCGCCCGGGGCGCCGGCGGCCGUUGGGCGCGCAGUUCGAAGGCGCCGCUCCGCGGGGCGCGAGCGCGGCCGUUGGGUGGACGGGUGCGACCGCUGCCGCCGGGCGACGCGCGGAGCCGUUGGGGCUGCCCGUGCUUGUGGCACCUGCGGGCCUCCGCCGCGGCGUGGGGCGGGUCACAGCUCUUUUCCAGGUGUCCCCUGGUGAGAUUUAAAGCCUAGACGCAAAGCGGGCAGAUGCGAAAAAACCCCCACUAGCUUAUUUCCCACAAAAUCUUGCCUGCUUUUCCCAGCUUGUCUUGGAGAGCGGGCAGCAUAAAAGCAAGCGCCUGAGGUGCGCACGGGAAGUAAUAUUGAUUCUGAGAAAUGGAGGACAGCAUGUAUCAAGUUUAUGAAGAUGAAAUUCAGUCGUUGGAAGAAGAAAUUAAAUUGUUGGCUGAAAAGUAUGAAGACAGCCAACAAGAAUCCACAUUUUUUUCUGAUGAAGAGAUACUAAUGUCAAUCAAGUCAUUCCAAGGAGAAUUUCAGAGAGAGUUGAAGGGACAUGAAUCUCCAUCAGACCUGAAAGUUCAACUUGAAAGUCUAGAAACAGAUCUCUCAUUUUUAAUGAAAUUUACUGGCAUUCGGUUCACAACUCACUCCAAGAAAACUGUGGAAAAAACUGGAAGCAGAACAAUACAGAAGCACAGGUUAUCAGGAAAUUGCCACUCCCUGCCUUUUCAAUUGGAAUUUCAGCUUCUUGAAAUAAAGAACAAAGAGAGCGUGUCUGCUGUUAUUACUGAUCUCAACAUUAUAAUGGAAUCUGGGGAAUAUUCAGGUGUAAGCAAGUUUGUGUCCAGCACUGAAGAACAUGGAAAUCUUUUGGCGUUUUUCAGAAGCCUUUCAUCUUAUGCUGAGUGGUAUGAACAUCGUAGAUGCACCUUCCUACAUUUCAAGGCCAAAUAUCCUGACAUUGUAAAACUUCCUGAAGGACUGCUGGGAGAUUAUAUAGUUUUAAGGAACCCUAAACCUUCUGGGUUUGAAUUAAUGAUUGUUUGGAAGAUACAUGUAGAUGAAGAUGGGAGAAUAACACCUGUUCUGGACCUCCUGACUAAAGUACCAGAGCAAGUCCUGGAGCAGAAGAUAGCAACUACCGAAAAUGCACCUACCUGCUUCCGAAGUAUGCUGCUUUUGUUUGGGAUUGAGACAGCUAUUGAAAAUCUUAUCAGAGUGGUUGGCUUGAAAAACUGAAUACCAGCAUUACUUAAAACAGAUGCCAAAUUGUGACCAAAACACCCAUCUCAUCACCUUAAGAUGGAACACAAACUCCUUGUUCGAGCAACAGAAGAGAUAACCAGAAGUCUGCUCCCUUUAAGGCAGGCCAGGCAAUGCUAAUAAAUUAUGUAUUUUACUACAGUUAAAACAAAUGCCAGAAGCUAAGAUACAAAAUUAUAAACUGGUGGCAAAUACCACCACAAACGACAUAAGCUGGAAAACUCACUUGGAAGUUGGAUAAUUUGGCUGAAUGUUUUGAGAGACCAUCUCAGGCUGAAAGCCUGGUGAGACAAAGGAACCAAAGACCCUGUGCGCCACAGGGUCUACCACCACUUUCAAAGGAAAGGAAAAAAAAGAAGAAGGUAUUAUCACAGCCUUUAGAUGUUUACAGCUACGUCUGCAGGAUUCUAUGGAAUCAGAACAGGGCACCUGAAGUGAACACAUCCCUUAAAGCACGUUAGUCACGCUGAAGCCAUUGCAAAGACAAAAUGACUACUGUAAAUUCAAAUCUGAGUAGUAAACAAACACUUCCUACAUUUCAUGUUAAGUAGCACAAGGCACUGUAGCCGUAAUAGACAAUUCCGAUUCCUGAAAUAGAUGUAAAUAAGUACAUAGCACCAGAAAUAUUUGCUGUAAAAGUAAGACAAGCAGACAUUGCUUCUUCAUCCUACAGCUGAAGUCUAAAUAAUCUGAGAAAUAAAACUAAAACACAGGGGUCUUUUCGGCAACACAGAGAAUCAAGUCACACUUUUUCUUACCCUGAGAAGAGAUCUAACGGACAAUAUUUACUCGGUCGCUUCCAUUUUCCAUUUGCUACCUGUUGAAAAUCAACACCACUGUUAAUCACUUUCUGGAAUAACUGCUCCCAAUUAUUUUAAUAGUCAGGUGCUAGCACUAACAUUUUUCUUCAGAAGUCCCACAACAUUUAAAACUCUUUGAACUUACUAUUCAUGACUACUAGGGGACUUCCUAUUCAUAUUUAAAUUGAGAUCAUUCAGAUUGCAUAAAAUACAUGAAUGGAAAGCAUGGAAAAAGGUCACAUUAAGUUAUAACGAGGUACAUUUAGCUUCUACUUCCAGACCCAUUAUGAUUUCAGGAACAUAAUCAACAUUAUUAGUGUAUAUCAAAAAAAAUCAAAUGAAUUCCAUGGGUGUUACAUGCUCUGGUAAGUUGUGCAAUGCCACCGUGCACUUGGUGAGCUGUACUUAAAAGGAAAUAUGGCACAGAUGUUUACCCAACCAGCUAGCUCCUCAAAGACUAAUAUUGCAUUUGUUUGCUUCCAACUUCCCACAGAACUUCUUCCGUUUCUCACUACACACCCAGCAACUCAGGUGUGUAACCACUCACUCUCUUUAGUCAUAUCAGAGAUUUAAGCAACAAUAUGCAAGUUUCAACAGGAAAGCAAGACUUUAGUAACAAAUAAAACACAAUGCAGUCAAAGGAAAGCAGGCUGACUACAAAAAAAGUUACCUUUAAAUGCUGAUGCAUACAAUAACGACACACCUUGUGCUUUAUCUCCUGCGAAACAUGGCUGGAAAAAGGAAUGAAGCCACACUUUGGCUACAAAAAAAAAAAAAGGAAAUAUAAAUGUAAGGGCACACAAUAUGCAAAUCUUUCCAGUUUCCAGUUAAACUGAAAAAAGAUUAUCAGUGAACAUCCAAUACUCAAAAAGCUUCAUAUUAUCUCAUUGUAUAUUAUUCCCAGUUAUGUUAGAGUCCUCCUUUAAAAAAAAUAAGGAUACACAGCACUGCUGUGGCUUGCAAGAAAGCCUACUAAUACUUGGGAAUUUCCCAAACUUGUAAAGGUUAGCAAUGGCGGGGGGAGAGGGGUGGAUUUCAUCCUACAGGUAACAGUGAAAAUGAUGAGCUCUGCUUUAUCCCAUUGCUGCAUUUAUUUGAAACUGCUUUGGUUAGUCUAUACUUAAAAAUUUCUAAACAAAAAAAACAGAAGGAUCUUCUUCUGUUUGAUACCUUAAUCUCUAUGCAGAGGAUUGGCCGAUGUUCCACAAAACGAUAGGUCUGCAGCCUGGUAAGAUUAGGAAGGCACAUUGCAUAACCACUAAGAGUGUCCAUGUCUUUAUCACAGCGAGACUCUGGAGGGAGAGAAAAAACAAAAAAAGGGUGGGAGGGGAGCAUGUCCAUGUUCAUUUUACUCUGUAGUUAUCUUAUUCUCUAACUGGAAAAGAAAGUCCUAAGAAAGGCAGGACAUAGUUUAAGAAGCUUCACCAAAUGAUUUCCCCCCCCAUUAGCAACACUGGUUUUCAGUUUUCCUCACAGCGCUCUCAAGCAUAUAGAGUGCUUCAAGAGCUGCUUUAAUGGCCACAAUUUCCAGCUCAUCCUAAAAAAGAUAUCAGUGAGAGGUCUGAAACAGCAAAGGAGCGUAUUCAAUGAGUCAAGAAUAGGUAAAGAGAUUUAUUACCAUAUGCAGAGAAGUCAUCUCUUGCUUGCUUACUAAAAUUGCAUGUAGUGACUAUGAUCCAUCAGCCUAGUCACCAGAAGUCCAUGAAAAGGGCCAGAAUAUCAUAAAUUGGUCUCGCAAUAUUGAGAUCUAGAAGUUUAGAAGGAACUGUGAAAAUAAGCAGAAUCUGCAAGUGGCUUAGCUCUAGUCCUUAGUCUGC